GUUCAAGCUACUGCAAAUAACUGAGAAUCGCAAAAAAACUAAAAUAAAUUCGCUUUUUUAAAAGUGUUUUUACAGAUGAACUGGAUCAAGAUCACAAUACUAAAAGGAACUUGGCAGGAAAAAUACUAAAAAUCAAGGAUCGCAAUUUCAGACUAAAAGGAACUUGGCAGGAACCCAGUUUAUUACUAACUGAACCCCGCAGCCCUCCACAGGCUGAGCCCCGCAGCUCUCCACAGGCUGAGCCCCGCAGCUCUCCACAGGCUGAGCCCCGCAGCUCUCCACAGGCUGAGCCCCGCAGCUCUCCACAGGCUGAGCCCCGCAGCUCUCCACAGGCUGAGCCCCGCAGCUCUCCACAGGCUGAGCCCCGCAGCUCUCCACAGGCUGAGCCCCGCAGCUCUCCACAGGCUGAACCCCGCAGCUCUCCACAGGCUGAGCCCCGCAGCUCUCCACAGGCUGAACCCCGCAGCUCUCCACAGUCUGAACCCCGCAGCUCUCCACAGUCUGAACCCCGCAGCUCUCCACAGUCUGAACCCCGCAGCUCUCCACAGACUGAGCCCCGCAGCUCUCCACAGGCUGAACCCGCAGCUCUCCACAGGCUGAACCCC